rnacentral:miRNA from 2 species
AGGUGGAUGCAAUGUGACCUCA